UACACUUAUUAGCAUUUAUGCCAUUUGUUUUUGAUGCAUAAAGAUAGAGAGAUCCAGAGCUGGAGACCAUUUUCCCUGAGAAUUUGGGCAAGAGCUAAAAGAGAGAGGGGGAGAAGUUCAUGAACGAUUGCACAUGGUGAUAUUCACUCUUAAGCUCUGGUAAAUGAAAACUUAAGCGGGGAAAAUAGCAUGGGGAAAACCAGAGCAGCGGAACGCAAGGAAGCCUAUCCAUAGUCCCAAGUCUCUGAUGUAAGAUUCCUCCGUAUCUUACAUUCUUUCUGUCUGGGUAAGAUUCUUAACAAGGAGCUGGGGGUAAAGAUACUUUGUUUCUUUAUAUUUCUUUCUGUAAAUGUUUAUACUUUCUUUUCAACCCAGAGGAACAUUAACACCGGGCAUAUGCUGAGAGUUGUUACCAAAAGCACUGAAGGAAGAGGCAGUGGGAAAUGAUGGAAAGGGUAAUUCAGAGACUAAAGAUGGCACCGUAGAGGAGGUUCAGGAGAGGGAGGUGGACCUCAGAAUGCCUGUUCUACCCUCGGUGUGCAAGCUCGGGAUCCCCACGCUCCUGAAAGUGCCUGUCCAGUGGCAGCAACACCAAAGAUUUAGUCUGUAAAGGAAGCUUCUAGGGUUCUCAGUGUUCCUGGAUUUGAUAAUGGCUCCAGAGGUCCUUCCAGCCACAACCCCAGCUGGAUUCUAGAGGCUCACAGAGUUCAGUGUGCUCCUGAGGCGGCGGGCGGCCUCGAACUCACACCUGCUCCCGGACACCCCAUGCUCCUGCCAAGGCUCAAGCUCCG